rnacentral:rRNA from 1 species
AAGGUGCCGCAGCAAUGCGGUCUCAGCAAAGAGUCCCUCCCGACUGUUUACCAAAAACACAGCACUUUGCCAACUCGUAAGAGGAAGUAUAAGGUGUGACGCCUGCCCGGUGCUCGAAGGUUAAGAGGAUGCGUCAGUCGCAAGAUGAAGCGUUGAAUUGAAGCCCGAGUAAACGGCGGCCGUAACUAUAACGGUCCUAAGGUAGCGAAAUUCCUUGUCGGUUAAAUACCGACCUGCAUGAAUGGCGUAACGAGAUGGGAGCUGUCUCAACCAGAGAUUCAGUGAAAUUGUAGUGGAGGUGAAAAUUCCUCCUACCCGCGGCAAGACGGAAAGACCCCGUGGACCUUUACUACAACUUAGCACUGCUAAUGGGAAUAUCAUGCGCAGGAUAGGUGGGAGGCUUUGAAGUAAGGGCUUUGGCUCUUAUGGAGCCAUCCUUGAGAUACCACCCUUGAUGUUUCUGUUAGCUAACUGGCCUGUGUUAUCCACAGGCAGACAAUGCUUGGUGGGUAGUU